GAGGUUGUGGCUCAGUGGUAGAGCACUUGCCUAAUAUGUUUGAGGCACUGGGUUUAAUCCUCAGCACCACA
rnacentral:tRNA from 1 species